AAAAUAAAACUGCUUCUUGUAAUUUCCUGCAACAGUCAGAUAUCUCUACUAGAUGAAUCUACUGCUGUGAAUACUUGUAAAGAGGUCUCACACUCAAGAAAGGUUUUAUAGUUCUGCAAGAGAUUUUGAAUCUUUUGGCCAAGCUUAAAAAGAGGGCAAAAAGCUGAAAAGAGAAGCGAAGUUGCUACAGGAAAAGGUGGAGAUGAAUGUGAUGUCCAAGAAAGCUCCCAAGUUGCAGCUGCAAUUGGCGAUAUUAAUGCUGCAGAACAUGAAUUUGUUUUGUGUCUGUCAAGCAUUAAUGGUUUGAUGCAGUUAAAAGUGAUGCAUUCCUAGUGUAAAAAUUAAGUACUAACAAGCAGAGACUAAUUCCAUUAGCCAUCAAGUCAGUAAAGUGCUAGCUGGUGCUGCUGAUUGGAACUUGCAUCGUUCUAGAAAAAUCGAAAAAGGAUACUAGACUUGCAAAUCCGAAUAAGAAGAAGAAAAUGUAUAGA